rnacentral:rRNA from 1 species
GAUGAACGCUGGCGGCGUGCUUAACACAUGCAAGUCGAACGGAGUCGUCUUGGAAAUCUCUUCGGCGAUGGAAUUCUCGACUUAGUGGCGGACGGGUGAGUAACGCGUGAGCAAUCUGCUUUUUUGAGGGGGAUAACAGUCGGAAACGGCUGCUAAUCCCGCAUAAAGCAUUAAAUUCGCAUGUUUUUGAUGCCAAAGGAGCAAUCCGCUGUUAGAUGAGCUCGCGUCUGAUUAGCUAGUUGGCGGGGUAACGGCCCACCAAGGCGACGAGCAGUAGCCGGACUGAGAGGGUGAACGGCCACAUGGAGAGUGAGACACGGCCCAGACUCCUGCGGGGGGCAGGAGUGGAGAAUAGUGCGCAAUGGGGAAAACCCUGACACAGCAACGCCGCGUGAGUGAAGAAGGCCUUCGGGUUGUAAAGAUCUUUAAUCAGAGGCAAAACAAAUGACGGUACCUGAAGAAUAAGCACCGGCUAACUACGUG